rnacentral:tRNA from 2 species
AAUCUUAUAGUUUAAUAGUUAAAAUUUUUGUUUGUGGUACAAAGGAUUUUGGGAUUA